GUGCCAGCGCCGCGGUAAUACCGGCAGCCCGAGUGAUGGCCGAUCUUAUUGGGCCUAAAGCGUCCGUAGCUGGCUGCGCAAGUCCGUCGGGAAAUCCGCCCGCUCAACGGGCGGCCGUCCGGCGGAACCUGUGUGGCUUGGGGCCGGAGGACCCGAGGGGUACGUCCGGGGUAGGAGUGAAAUCCCAUAAUCCCGCACGGACCACCGAUGGCGAAAGCACUUCGAGAAAACGGAUCCGACAGUGAGGGACGAAAGCCAGGGUCUCCAACCGGAUUAGAUACCCGAGUAGUCC
rnacentral:rRNA from 1 species